rnacentral:tRNA from 1 species
GGCCUGGUAGCUCAGUUGGUAGAGCAGUGGACUGAAAAUCCAUGUGUCGCUGGUUCGAUUCCGGCCCGGGCCA